rnacentral:lncRNA from 1 species
GGGCAAUAAAAAGGGUAGAACAGAUGCACUUCUGCACCGGCUGUAAGGUCCCCAGGAAAGGAAGAAAGCAGAGAGGAAUCACCUGACAGGGACCUGGAUACCUGCAAGAAGAUGCACAAGAGAAGAUCAAAUCACCCCUUCAGUGCCAGCAGCAUCACAGACGUCAUAUGGGUCAUGGUCUGAGGCAUAUAUUGAUACACAUGCUAAAAAGAUGCUUCUAAUUUUUUUUUUAAGCCUAUAAACCAGCCUCUAAAUUGUAACAGGUUUCUUAAUGAUAUUAUAAGCACUGUCAAUAGAAACAUUAAAAAAUUGAGUAAUUUCGUUCUUUC